AGCGGACAGCCGCGCAGGAAGGCCGAAAGGCCCCCUGUGAGGAAAGUCCGGGCUCCACAGGGCAAGGAUAACGGGUAACGCCCGCCGGGGGUGACCCCAGGACAAGUGCAACAGAGAGAUACCGCUCGGCCCCAUCCAAUCCAUGGGGAGAGGAGACACAGUGAAAUGACUAAAGACCUGCCGCUUGCGGCGGGGCGAAGGAUAGGAAGCUUGUGUCGACGAGUAAGGGUGAAAAGGUGCGGUAAGAGCGCACCCAGCCCAUGGAGACAUGGGUUUUAUGAUGUAAACUCUAUCCGGAGCAACACCGUGUAGUGGGACAGAAGGCCGGCCCGGCCGUCCCCAAGAGGUGGCUGGACCUCGGGAGCAAUUCCGGGGCUAGAUAGAUGGCUGUCGAGACAGAACCCGGCUUACAGCA
rnacentral:RNase_P_RNA from 1 species